UUUUGCAGAGGCGCCGUUGCUCCGUCCGGUGCUUAGGACCGGCCAAGACGAUUGUGAUUGGUUUAAAAGAGUGCCAAUAAACCACAGCACCUUUUUCUCCCAUCCCGGAAUGCUGUGUGGCCUAGCCAGACACUCCUCGGCAGGUGGAGGAAGGUCUGGCAAUGCGAGACUAUGGGUAAAUAAAUCCAACCGCCCCAUGACAGAUUUAAGUUUCACUUUCUAUGAUCCAUGACCGACGGUCGCCCCCAUCCACAUGAUUCGACGGUCAGUCGGCAAUAGGCAACACUUGACAAUUCUGAUUCGAAUAUGAAAAUUCUUAGUCGAGGACACCCUUACUAUUUGUUAUGAAAAUUCGCAAUACAAGACAAAAUGGAGUUGUCAAGCAGUGAGGACAAUUUUGUGGUGCAUUUACUGUAGGUGGCCAGCGUUGAAAGUCUGUUAAAUCCUUAAAGUCUAUGGUCAUUUGUAAGGUAUCAUUCUGCUAAACAUCUUAUUCUUUGAAAGGACCCAAGUCCUGGAACUCUUUGCUGGAAGAUUUGCUGCAUUUUGCUGUCUAAUCUUUCGUACAUCCUUUGUUUUGAGAUCAGUAGGCCUACCCACCAUCCCCAAUCCCCGGAUAUGAAAAAAGCGCACAAAAUGGAACCUGUCCUGAAAACGGAUGAAAGUUUUGGAAUCAGUGUGUAAACUCGAUUGACACAACAUGAGGUCGUAUUUAUUUUUAAACAUGCGGUAAUUUCGGACAAAAAAUACGGACUUGGUGUGUAAAGGCCUUUUCCCAAACAACAUAUAUCGAAACUUUUAUCCACAUACAAAACACUGGUGAUAUUUGUUAGCAUAUACCGUAGAUGGUGAUAUAAAGAUAGCACAAGCACUGGAUUUUCACAACAGAAAGCUACUAUCCCCCUGAUUUAAACUUGAAACUCCAGAUGGAUAUUGUCGUAGUCUUUGCUGUGUUCAUCCUCGAUGUUGUCUUAAUCUGGUUCAUGUCAAAUUAGUGCUGCUUUGAGAAGACAUGGAUAAGAGCAUGUCUUAUUUCAUAAAUGCUUUAUAAAGAGACAAAUAUAUAUUUAAAGGUGAUUUUUUUUUUUUUUUUGGCAAAGGCUAACACCUAUUGUUUUCUACUGUACAUAUUGUAACUUCAACAGUAGGCUAGAUUGUGAAUCAAAGAAAAUACAUUGCGUCUGACUAAUACAUAUUCUACAACUCAUGUGUCUUAAUUUAAAAAAAAUGUAAACUCUUUUUGUUACAUUAGACAACAAGCUGGGUUUGAUAGUCAGUGUUAUUGGUUUCAAUGAAGGGGUUUUUUGUAUUUUAUGUUUAUUAUUUUCUAAUGACUAUUGCCAUUUCAUUACAAGGUCUGAGGUAAAUACAGUAUGGUUUAACAUGAAUGGCCAUAUGUUUAUAAAUAAGAGACACCUAUGCUGUAUGGUAGAACGUUUCACUGUGUUUCUGACCUACUGUAUUUAUGUUUUGACUAAAUCUCACCAGUCUGUUAAAUAACUGUUACAGUGUUCCCAAAUUAAGCAAUCCUCAUUUCUUGUUGUGCAUUACCUGAAUGCACAACACUAAUAAUUUCUUGUAGCUAUGAUGCAAUAUUUGAUUCAGCAAUUAUUUGUGUUAAAUGCAGUAAUGUUUUUUCAUUCUUCAGAGCAAUUUCGUUUAUGCGUCUAAUAUAUGAGUUUUAAUUAAAUACAAAUUGAUGUGCUAACAAUACAAACAGUGCUCUCAGCUUUAAAACAUAUUAUCUCGAGAAUUAUGGUGGAAAACAUUUUCUUUCAUUUGUAUUAUUUAGUCAAGAGGACUUCACUGACUUUAGAAAAACGAUUUAAAAUAAAUGUAGGUAUGUCUUCAUCCGGUUUCCUUGUAGGUGUUAUAUGCACUCAAAUACAGUAAGUCUAAUUGAAUUAGAAAAUU